UACGUAGGGUGCAAGCGUUAAUCGGAAUUACUGGGCGUAAAGCGUGCGCAGGCGGUGAUGUAAGACAGAUGUGAAAUCCCCCGGGCUCAACCUGGGAACUGCAUUUGUGACUGCAUCGCUAGAGUACGGCAGAGGGGGAUGGAAUUCCGCGUGUAGCAGUGAAAUGCGUAGAUAUCUGGAGGAACACCGGUGGCGAAGGCGGCAUCCUGGACCAACACUGACGCUGAGGAGCGAAAGCCAGGGGAGCAAACGGG
rnacentral:rRNA from 1 species